rnacentral:rRNA from 1 species
CGCUUCUUGCAAACUAUGAAUAAGAAGUCCUGCCUGCCCUGUGACUAUAUGUUUAACGGCUGCGGUAUCCUGACCGUACGAAGGUAGCGCAAUCACUUGUCUUUUAAAUAGAGACCUGUAUGAAUGGCAAAACGAGGGCUCAACUGUCUCCUUUCUCAAGUCAAUGAAAUUGAUCUCCCCGUGCAGAAGCGGGGAUAAACCCAUAAGACGAGAAGACCCUAUGGAGCUUUAGAUGCAAGGACAGAUCACGUUAAGCACCUCUUAACAAAGAACCAAACCGAACGAACCCUGUCCCAGUAUCUUUGGUUGGGGCGACCGCGAGGAAAAACAAAACCCCCGCAUGGACUGAGGACACACCAUUCUCCCCUCUCCUCACAGCUAAGAGUUUCCACUCUAAGAACCAGAACUUCUGACCUACAAAGAUCCGGCAAUGCCGAUCAACGGACCCAGUUACCCUAGGGAUAACAGCGCAAUCCCCUUUUAGAGCCCAUAUCGACAAGGGGGUUUACGACCUCGAUGUUGGAUCAGGACAUCCUAAUGGUGCAGCCGCUAUUAAGGGUUCGUUUGUUCAACGAU